AGCGAACGCUGGCGGCAGGCUUAACACAUACAAGUCGAGCGGGCACUUCGGUGUCAGCGGCAGACGGGUGAGUAACACGUGGGAACGUACCCUUUGGUUCGGAAUAACGCUGGGAAACUAGCGCUAAUACCGGAUACGCCCUUUUGGGGAAAGGCUUGCUGCCGAAGGAUCGGCCCGCGUCUGAUUAGCUAGUUGGUGGGGUAAUGGCCUACCAAGGCGACGAUCAGUAGCUGGUCUGAGAGGAUGAUCAGCCACACUGGGACUGAGACACGGCCCAGACUCCUACGGGAGGCAGCAGUGGGGAAUAUUGGACAAUGGGCGCAAGCCUGAUCCAGCCAUGCCGCGUGAGUGAUGAAGGCCUUAGGGUUGUAAAGCUCUUUUGUCCGGGACGAUAAUGACGGUACCGGAAGAAUAAGCCCCGGCUAACUUCGUG
rnacentral:rRNA from 1 species